CAAGGGGCAGUAAGGUUUGGGAAGGGGCGUACCACUGCCCCAUGGAGGGCUGUGCCUAUGCGCACGCAGCCAACCCUGCCAAGCUCAAAGGUCUCUAGUCCUCACUGUUGCUGGCCCUGCUCCUCUCCAAGCCAUGAAAGAGACAUGGGGACAGGCAGUCCUUGGAUAGGGAGCAUGGAAUUUUCCUGAAGCUGCUGAGGGAGGACUGGGUUCUGACUUCUCAGGGUCUGGAUCUGCACUGGAAGCUCACACUGACCUGUUCUCCCUCAGGGUUGAAGAGGAGAGUCUGGAGGAGCAGCCCCUGUGCUGGUGCACACUCACCAUUUACCUGCUGGCAUAUUUCAGCCACAAAGCAGGAGGCCCCCUGAGUCAGCAAGGAGAGAGAUAAAUGACUGUGCAGCUCCCAAGACUGUAUGAAGGGGAUGCUGUGAAGGGCCUUCUGUGUGCAGCCAUGUAGAGGGGAAGGCAGGAGGCCCUCAGAUGCCUGGUGCAGGUCUUGUCUGCUCCUCAGAAAGUGUCUUGGUGUGAGGGGAGAAAUGGUGCUGUCUAGGGAUGGCUGGGAGCAAGAGAGCCCAAGGUGAGGUGGUAAAGGGGUGAAGGAGAAGAAAAGGGAGGAGUGAACACCAGUGAGGCUGGGGAAGGGGUCAAUGUGGGCUGUUUGGGGCAGUGAGCUGAGAUUUUAGCAGAAGCAGAACAUGUGGAACUGACAGUGAAGGCAGUCCCUCAAUCCUAGAGAGCUCUACAUAGCAUGUCUGCAUAGAGUUAAGCUGCAGUAUGCUAGGACAUGGACAACCUUCUCUGGAUACAUCGUGCUUUCCAUCUCACAUGCUGUGCACUUAUUGUGAAAUGUGAUGUACAGUGAGGUGAUGGCAAUGUUUCUGGAGUAAAGCAAGAUCAACACCAUCUGGCCCAUUACUCUUGUUCUACCACGAAGAUACCAUCUUCAGUGUCUAUGACCUUCCCAGAGUCCUCCCCACAACCACUACUCCAGAUUAGGAAAAGGACUGUACAAAACUACCCCUGAAGGCAAAUGAGGACUGCAGUGAGAAGCUGAUUCACCCCAUGGUGAAAAGGAGAAAUCUGCUACGGUAUCUGCAAGGCUCUGGCUUAAUUCUUUUUACAGAAAGGCUAGUUGCCCACCUAGUAUACUUGUUCUGAUGCUCCUGGCUGUACUCCAAGACCUGGGUUGAUAGAUGUCCUGAAUCUGCAUAGUAGCCAUCUGUUGAGAGCCUGGGAGGCCGUCACUAGUCACAGAGAGUGUGGUGCAGACCUAAUACACACAGCAGAUGCUGUGUUGUCCUUCAGUAGCUGCUGUGCACAUUAAGUAUAGAUUUUGUCAGCUAGACCACCCUUUUGCCAACACAAAUCAUAUCUUUCCAAGCAAUCUCUAGUGCUGACCACAGCCAAGGCAUGUGAGCACACAUACAGAAAAAGGAGCAGUGACAAAAUUAUGUCUAAUGAAGACCAGUCUCUACAUAGCACUGACUUUCCUAUCUUUUCCUUGGCAGCUUUGUCUUCAUGUGGCAAUAUAAAAAUAAAGCAAUACUUGGCUGACAUCAUUUACAAAAACUGCUUUACAUUUCUAAAAGAAUGACUCC